rnacentral:rRNA from 1 species
CGAGAAGUCCCCUUCGGGGGAAAGUACAGUGGCGCACGGGUGAGUAACACGUAGGUAAUCUACCUUCGGGUGGGGAAUAACCCAGGGAAACUUGGGCUAACACCGCAUAAUGCAGCGGCACCACAUGGUGACAGUUGUUAAAGCGGGGGAUCUUAGGACCUCGCGCCUGAAGAGGAGCCUGCGGCGGAUUAGCUAGUUGGUAAGGUAACGGCUUACCAAGGUAACGAUCCGUAGCCGGCCUGAGAGGGCGGUCGGCCACACUGACACUGACAUACGGGUCAGACUCCUACGGGAGGCAGCAGUCGGGAAUUUUGGGCAAUGGGCGAAAGCCUGACCCAGCAACGCCGCGUGAAGGAUGAAAUCCCUCGGGAUGUAAACUUCGCAAGAAUGGGAAGAAUUAGUAGGGGCUAAUACCCCCUAUGAUGACGGUACCAUUUGUAAGCUCCGGCUAACUCCGUGCCAGCAGCCGCGGUAAUACGGGGGGAGCAAGCGUUGUUCGGAUUUACUGGGCGUAAAGGGCGCGUAGGCGGCCAGCGCAAGUCAGUUGUGAAAUCUCCGAGCUUAACUCGGAACGGUCAACUGAUACUGCGCGGCUAGAGUGCGGAAGGGGCAACUGGAAUUCUCGGUGUAGCGGUGAAAUGCGUAGAUAUCGAGAGGAACACCUGCGGCGAAGGCGGGUUGCUGGGCCGACACUGACGCUGAGGCGCGAAAGCCAGGGGAGCGA